rnacentral:rRNA from 1 species
UGGGGAAUAUUGGACAAUGGGGGCAACCCUGAUCCAGCCAUGCCGCGUGGGUGAAGAAGGCCUUAGGGUUGUAAAGCCCUUUCAGCGGGGAAGAUGAUGACGGUACCCGCAGAAGAAGCCCCGGCUAACUCCGUGCCAGCAGCCGCGGUAAUACGGAGGAUGCAAGCGUUAUCCGGAAUUAUUGGGCGUAAAGCGUCCGCAGGCGGCAUUAUAAGUCUGCUGUCAAAGACCGCAGCUCAACUGCGGAAAGGCAGUGGAAACUGUAAAGCUAGAGUACGGUAGGGGUAGAGGGAAUUCCCAGUGUAGCGGUGAAAUGCGUAGAGAUUGGGAAGAACACCAGUGGCGAAAGCGCUCUACUGGGCCGUAACUGACGCUCAGGGACGAAAGCUAGGGGAGCGAAAGGGAUUAGAUACCCGUGUAGUCC